AGCUUUUACAAAACUUUGCGUAUCAAAAAUGUCCACAGAUUCUGUCUAGUCCUCACCUUGUAUCGUUGUAAUACCUGUGUCAUACCAACGUCUCUAUACAAGUUUGUGUGGCGCGCGCGCGCACACACACACACACACACACCUGUCAUUCUCACACACGGAAGAGCGCGCUCCGGACUCAAUCAUGUAGUGACAGAAACAGCAGAUGUUGGAUCGCCUCAUCGCGUCGCGUUGAUCAGAUAAAAGAUGAUUGUGCUGAGUUUGAUCUGUGCUGCUCUUCUUCUGCAGUCCUCGGUUUGCACCGAGUCUCCAGAUGCUGACAGGACUGAUCAUGGAGACUUUGUGUAUUUUAAAGAUGCUCCGGACACAGUGCAGAACAACUCUAGUGUACACUUGCUGUAUAACUGCUCUGCCGCCUGUCGAGUCAGUGUGGAAAUUAUAAUCUCCUCGCCAUCGAGAGCAGGAGCGGUAGUAUUCAGAAGGACCUGGACUAACUCUAAAAAUGUUGGAAAGCCCAGAUCUAGAGAUUUCCCUCUGGUGUUUCCUCCAGCUCUGCUCUACCAGAGAGACUUUUUCAUCAGGCGUCCGCUGGAGGCCUGUGAUGUGCUUCUGAGGGCCCGUUUGCUCCAUUUGGCAGAACAGGAGCUUAUUGGAGACCAUGUUGAUGGAUCAAUUGUGAAAGCAUCUAGGUUUGUGAGGACUCUACCGCUUUCUGAACGUCCAGCAUGUCCACGCACAAGAUCAGUGUCAUGGGGAGCGUGGCUGAUGUGGCGGAUUACCAAAAACACUGUGAGGACAUGUCCAGUCGAGUCAGACACUGUGGAUAUCCUGACGUUUCCAUUCGCAAGUACCGGCGAGAGGUUUGGUGUCAUACACACAUUCUCCUCCUUCAAGAACGGAGAUCUGGAAUGGAGACGGACACUCGCUGUCAAACAGCCGAGGUCAGAGUUGUUGUGGAAAACCUUUAUUCACAUUUCUAACUACUGACUACUAAAUCAAUGCAUGUUAC
rnacentral:lncRNA from 1 species